rnacentral:rRNA from 1 species
AGUAAAAGUCGUAACAAGGUUUCCUCCCCGGUGUCCCCCACCGAAGCCUUGGCUGCCCGCGACUCAAAAUAAUGGGGUUGAAAGGUCUCUGCGGAGGCCAACGUCACACAAAUGCUGGAACCCGUGUACCCCCCAUGGAGCUCGGUGAACCAGCAGCCCAGGCCCCCUGGGUCCACAGAUUAAGCGGUGACGGCCAGCGCCUGCCCUGGCAGAGAUAUAACCGGUCUAUGGCGGCCAGCCAUCAGAGCGACGUUCCGUAGGUGAACCUGCGGAAGGAUCAUUAUCGAGUUAGGGUCCUCUGGGCCCCAUCUCCAACCCGUGUCUACUAUACCUGUUGCUUCGGCGGGCCCGUCCUUAACCGGACCGCUGGGGAUCUCCGUCCCUGGCCAGCGCCCGUCAGUGGCCCCCCCUCCAAACUCUUAUGAAUGUGUUGUCUGAGUCCAUGAUAAUAAGCACAAAAACUUUCAACAACGGAUCUCUUGGUUCUGGCAUCGAUGAAGAACGCAGCGAAAUGCGAUAAGUAAUGCGAAUUGCAGAAUUCCGUGAGUCAUCGAAUCUUUGAACGCACAUUGCGCCCUCUGGCAUUCCGGAGGGCAUGCCUGUUCGAGCGUCAUUAUCUAUCCUCAAGCACGGCUUGUCUUUGGGUCUCCCACCGCUCCCCGGCGGUGGACCUGAAAGGUAGUGGCGGUUCCCGGGGGGACUGGAUGCAGCGAGCUCUUCAGCACGCGUCUGCGCCCUCCCGAGGCCCGGCCUCGACCAGAAAUUUUUCUCGCAGUUGACCUCGGAUCAGUAGGGAUACCCGCUGAACUUAAGCAUAUCA